GACGAACCGAGCGAACGUUAUUCGGAAUCACUGGGCUUAAAGGGUGCGUAGGCGGGCACGCGAGUCAGGGGUGAAAUCCCACGGCCCAACCGUGGAAGUGCCUCUGAUACCGCGAGCCUCGAGGGGGAUAGGGGCGUGCGGAACUUCCGGUGGAGCGGUGAAAUGCGUAGAUAUCGGGAGGAACACCUGUGGCGAAAGCGGCUCACUGGACCACAACUGACGCUGAGGCGCGAAAGCUAGGGGAGCAAACAGG
rnacentral:rRNA from 1 species